GUUCACUUAUCUAUGGGUCGGAAACUCGGCAACCCAAUGCCCGGGCCAGUGUGCCUGGCCCUUCCACCAGCCCAUGUACGGCCCACAGGGCCCGCCCUUGGUGGCGCCUAACGGCGACGUCGGAGUUGACGGCAUGAUCAUCAAUCUUGCCACGGUUCUUGCCGGCGCGGUGACGAACCCUGACGGCCAUGGUUACUUUCAGGGACCUGCGACGGCGCCGUUAGAGGCAGUGACGGCGUGCACGGGAGCGUUUGGGAAAGGUGCCUAUCCGG
rnacentral:misc_RNA from 1 species